UACGUAGGGGCGAGCGUUGUCCGGAUUUACUGGGCGUAAAGGGUGAGUAGGCGGUUAUAUAUGUCAGGUGUAAAAGGCUAUGGCUUAACCAUGGUUAGCACUUGAAACUGUAUGACUUGAGUGCAGGAGAGGUAAGUGGAAUUCCUAGUGUAGCGGUGAAAUGCGUAGAUAUUAGGAGGAACACCAGUGGCGAAGGCGACUUACUGGACUGUAACUGACGCUGAGUCACGAAAGCGUGGGUAGCAAACAGGAUUAGAUACCCCCGUAGU
rnacentral:rRNA from 1 species